AGAGUUUGAUCCUGGCUCAGGAUGAACGCUAGCGACAGGCUUAACACAUGCAAGUCGAGGGGCAGCGGGGGCGUAGCAAUAUGCCUGCCGGCGACCGGCGCACGGGUGAGUAACACGUAUGUAACCUGCCCUAUGCAGGGGGAUAACCCGGAGAAAUCCGGCCUAAUACCGCGUAACACCUUAGGGGAGCAUUCUCUUGAGGUUAAAGGAGAGAUCCGGCAUAGGAUGGACAUGCGUCGCAUUAGGUAGACGGCGGGGUAACGGCCCACCGUGCCGACGAUGCGUAGGGGUUCUGAGAGGAAGGCCCCCCACACUGGUACUGAGACACGGACCAGACUCCUACGGGAGGCAGCAGUGAGGAAUAUUGGUCAAUGGCCGAGAGGCUGAACCAGCCAAGUCGCGUGAGGGAAGAAUGUCCUAAGGAUUGUAAACCUCUUUUGUCGGGGAGCAAAAAGGCUCUGCGGAGUCGUAUUGAGAGUACCCGAAGAAAAAGCAUCGGCUAACUCCGUGCCAGCAGCCGCGGUAAUACGGAGGAUGCGAGCGUUAUCCGGAUUUAUUGGGUUUAAAGGGUGCGCAGGCGGCGUGUCAAGCAAGCGGUAAAAUAGCGGGGCUCAACCCCGUCGAGCCGUUUGAACUGGCGCGCUUGAGUUCAGGCGAGGUAGGCGGAAUUCGUGGUGUAGCGGUGAAAGGCAUAGAUAUCACGAAGAACUCCGAUUCCGAAGGCAGCUUACCAGUCUGCGACUGACGCUCAGGCACGAAAGUGUGGGUAUCGAACAAGAUUAGAUACCCUGGUAGUCCACACAGUAAACGAUGAGCGCUAGGUGUCCGGGUCGCAUGAGACUUGGGUGCCCGAGCGAAAGCGUUAAGCGCUCCACCUGGGGAGUACGCCGGCAACGGUGAAACUCAAAGGAAUUGACGGGGGCCCGCACAAGCGGAGGAACAUGUGGUUUAAUUCGAUGAUACGCGAGGAACCUUACCCGGGCUCAAACGACUCAGGAAUAUAUUGGAAACGAUGUAGCCAGCAAUGGUCUGAGUCGAGGUGCUGCAUGGUUGUCGUCAGCUCGUGCCGUGAGGUGUCGGCUUAAGUACCAUAACGAGCGCAACCCCUACCGCCAGUUGCCAACGGGUAAAGCCGGGAACUCUGGCGGGACUGCCGGCGCAAGCUGCGAGGAAGGCGGGGAUGACGUCAAAUCAGCACGGCCCUUACGUCCGGGGCGACACACGUGUUACAAUGGCAGGUACAGCGGGAAGCCACCUGGUGACAGGGAGCGGAACCCGAAAGCCUGUCUCAGUUCGGAUUGGAGUCUGCAACUCGACUCCAUGAAGCUGGAUUCGCUAGUAAUCGCGCAUCAGCCAUGGCGCGGUGAAUAAAUUCCCGGGCCUUGUACACACCGCCCGUCA
rnacentral:rRNA from 1 species